rnacentral:rRNA from 1 species
GAUGAACGCUGGCGGCGUGCCUAAUACAUGCAAGUCGAGCGAACAGAUGAGGAGCUUGCUCCUCUGACGUUAGCGGCGGACGGGUGAGUAACACGUGGAUAACCUACCUAUAAGACUGGGAUAACUUCGGGAAACCGGAGCUAAUACCGGAUAAUAUAUUGUACCGCAUGGUUCAAUAGUGAAAGACGGUUUUGCUGUCACUUAUAGAUGGAUCCGCGCCGCAUUAGCUAGUUGGUAAGGUAACGGCUUACCAAGGCGACGAUGCGUAGCCGACCUGAGAGGGUGAUCGGCCACACUGGAACUGAGACACGGUCCAGACUCCUACGGGAGGCAGCAGUAGGGAAUCUUCCGCAAUGGGCGAAAGCCUGACGGAGCAACGCCGCGUGAGUGAUGAAGGUCUUCGGAUCGUAAAACUCUGUUAUUAGGGAAGAACAAAUGUGUAAGUAACUAUGCACGUCUUGACGGUACCUAAUCAGAAAGCCACGGCUAACUACGUG